AAUGGGCGCAAGCCUGAUGCAGCCAUGCCGCGUGUGUGAUGAAGGCCUUAGGGUUGUAAAACACUUUCAUCGGUGAAGAUAAUGACGGUAGCCGAAGAAGAAGCCCCGGCUAACUCCGUGCCAGUGCCGCGGUAAUACGGAGGGGGCUAAGCGUUGUUCGGAAUUACUGGGCGUAAAGCGCACGUAGGCGGACUGAUCAGUUGGGGGUGAAAUCCCGAGGCUUAACCUCGGAACUGCCUUCAAUACUGUCAGUCUUGAGAUCGGAAGAGGUGAGUGGAAUUCCUAGUGUAGAGGUGAAAUUCGUAGAUAUUAGGAAGAACACCAGUGGCGAAGGCGGCUCACUGGUCCGAUACUGACGCUGAGGUGCGAAAGCGUGGGGAGCGAAUAGGAUU
rnacentral:rRNA from 1 species